rnacentral:rRNA from 1 species
UUAGGAAUCUUGCACAAUGGACGAAAGUCUGAUGCAGCGACACCGCGUGAAGGAUGAAGGUUUUCGGAUCGUAAACUUCUUUUAUCGGGGAACAAGUUCUGAGUGUACCCGAUGAAUAAGGCCCCCCUAACUACGUGCCAGAAGGGUCGGUGAUGCGUAGGGGUCAAGCGUUAUCCGGAAUUACUGGGCGUAAAGAGAAGCGUAGGCGUCUUGGUUAGUUUGAUGUGAAAGACCGAAGCUCAACUUCGGAAUUGCAUCAAAUACUGCCAAGAUUGAGCCAGUCAGGGGAAAGCGGAAUUCCAGGUGGAGCGGUGAAAUGCGUUGAUAUCUGGAAGAACACCGAUGGCGAAGGCAGCUUUCUGGGACUGCGCUGACGCUAAGGCUCGAAAGCGUGGGGAGCAAAACGG